GCAAAGGGUGAUGACAAGAUGAAAAUUGGAAUAUGAGAGAGAAGACACCCAAUUUAUGUCGAGAUGUAACAGAAUGAGAGAAGCUAUAAGUGAUGCUGCUCUGACAUUGCCCUACUGGAAUAAUUACAACAAGAUGCAGAAUACAGAUCUGAGGUGGACAACAAUUACCCAGUGAGUCCACCAUGGUAUGGUCUAUGCUCCAAUAGGAUACACAUUUGGAGCAGGAAUGUUUUAAGAUAGACGGCCUGAGAGGAGGUUCCCCUUAUGGAGCAGGAGUUUUCUUAGGAGACCACACAAGGGAACCCACUGAAACAAAGCCCACACUGGUGGAGCACCUGGGAAAGUAUAUGGCAUUGAUGGCGAAGAGGUUUGCCCUGCCUCAUUCCUUCACAAAUGAUCACAAAGACAGUAGCUAGCCCCUGCAAAAGCCGUUUUGGUUGUUAUGCUAUUGUAUAUUGUAAUUCCAUUUUUUGCCUUGUAUCUAUACCAAUGGCACUUUACCUUUGUGAUUUUGGAGGGUGUGAGAGCAUACUCCUUGUGUGUAAAUAGUUGACAAAAUUGGUACUCAUUCCAAAGCGGAUCGGUAUUUGUGCAUUCUUUGUUCACAGGAGGUUCCCAAGUAUGCAAUGU